UAGUCUGGUGCAGCAGCCGCGGUAAUACGGGGGAUGCAAGCGUUAUCCGGAAUCAUUGGGCGUAAAGCGCCUGUAGGUUGUUUAGUAAGUCUGUUGUUAAAGACCAGGGCUUAACCCUGGGAAAGCAAUGGAAACUACUAGACUUGAGUAUGGCAGGGGUAGAGGGAAUUUCUAGUGUAGCGGUGAAAUGCGUAGAUAUUAGAAAGAACACCGGCGGCGAAAGCGCUCUACUGGACCAUUACUGACACUCAGAGGCGAAAGCUAGGGGAGCAAAAGGGAUUAGAUACCCCUGUAGUCCUAGCCGUAAACGAUGGAUACUAGAUGUUGCGCAAUUUGUGCAGUAUCUUAGCUAACGCGUUAAGUAUCCCGCCUGGGGAGUACGCUCGCAAGGGUGAAACUCAAAGGAAUUGACGGGGGCCCGCACAAGCGGUGGAGCAUGUGGUUUAAUUCGAUGCAACGCGAAGAACCUUACCAGGGCUUGACAUACUACAAAUCUUUUCGAAACGAAAGAGUGCCUUCGGGAAUGUAGAUACAGGUGGUGCAUGGCCGUUCUU
rnacentral:rRNA from 1 species